AGAACCUCUUCAAGUAUGCUGGUUUGGAAAUUGACAACCUUCAAAACUUGGAAUGUUGCCUUUUCGUUCUCUUUCCAUAUUUCUCGUACAUGCUUGCUGAAGGUCUUGGCCUCUUCGGUAUUGUGUCUAUACUGUUUAU